GGCUGAGUUUUCUGUAUGUCUCUGCUGUAUAUUUCAGAAUUGGAUAAUCCUUGCUUGCCAAUAUUGGACUAAUCUGUGGUUUUAGCUACAUAUGCUUCAAAGCUGGCUACAUGCUCACCAAUCCUGUUACCUCUUCCUGGGCACAUGGUUACCAGAGCACGGGGAGCCAUAACUAGUCCUGCUGGAAGGACUGUGCAUCAUCUGGAGAUCCUGAAUCUAAACCAGACGUAAUGAUGGAGUGUGACUUUGGGUUGUUCCUAUUAGCGAGGGGAUGUCGAGGGUACCUUAAAGCCACAAGAUGGAAGCAGCCUGGGUUUCUGAGAUGCUGCUUGGAGAAAAGCUGCCCAGGAGAACCACCUGACCAGGAAUGUCCACCUUGGAAUUUAUUUAAGCAAGAAAAUACUUGAUAACGUUCAGUGACUUGGGGUAUGUUUGUUCCAGUGGUUAGCAUAUCCUGAGCAAUAUACCACAUCAUAUAUUGUGGAGACAAUUAAUGGAAAGUAUGAUAGGGAGUAAUCACAUAAAAUGGCAUCUUUGUUGUUAGAGAUGGAAUGAAGGCAGUUUCUCAUUCUGAUCUCCAGAAUAACCUUGAACCCUGAAUGAGUUUAAAAUAUUGAGUCAGACGUUUAGAAGGAGGAUAAAUUUUCAUGGUCUUCUAGGGGCUUAUCUUAGCGGUGGAUAUUUGAAGGGUGAACGUGAAAAGAAAUCGGUGAGUUUACCACUCCUCAUUUUUGUUUAUUUGAGAAAAUAAAUAUUAUCUAGAGGAAGAAGGGAAGAGUAUGAUGCAUGUGUCAGAAUUGUUAGGUUCAAGGACAUUCCAUCUUUUUCCCCAAAGUUCAAAAGAGUUAUUUGUGUGUGG